rnacentral:rRNA from 1 species
GAUGAACGCUAGCGGCAGGCUUAACACAUGCAAGUCGAGGGGUAUAGGUUUUCGGACCUAGAGACCGGCGCACGGGUGCGUAACGCGUAUGCAAUCUACCUUUCACAGAGGGAUAGCCCAGAGAAAUUUGGAUUAAUACCUCAUAGUAUUAUAGAAUGGCAUCAUUUUAUAAUUAAAGUCACAACGGUGAAAGAUGAGCAUGCGUCCCAUUAGCUAGUUGGUAUGGUAACGGCAUACCAAGGCUACGAUGGGUAGGGGUCCUGAGAGGGAGAUCCCCCACACUGGUACUGAGACACGGACCAGACGCCUACGGGAGGCAGCAGUGAGGAAUAUUGGUCAAUGGGCGCAAGCUUGAACCAGCCAUGCCGCGUGCAGGAUGACGGUCCUAUGGAUUGUAAACUGCUUUUGUACGGGAAGAAACACUCCUACGUGUAGGAACUUGACGGUACCGUGAGAAUAAGGAUCGGCUAACUCCGUGCCAGCCGCCGCAGUAA